UUAUGGCCAUAUCACGUUGAGACAUUGUUUCCCGUUUGAUCACCGAAGUUAAGCAACGUCAAGUCUAGUCAGUACCUAAAUCGGUAACCACUUGAAAAUACCAGGUGCUGUAAG